AUACGUAGGUGGCAAGCGUCGUCCGGAAUUAUUGGGCGUAAAGCGCGCGCAGGCGGUCCUUUAAGUCUGAUGUGAAAGCCCCCGGCUCAACCGGGGAGGGUCAUUGGAAACUGGGGAACUUGAGUGCAGAAGAGGAUAGUGGAAUUCCAAGUGUAGCGGUGAAAUGCGUAGAGAUUUGGAGGAACACCAGUGGCGAAGGCGACUGUCUGGUCUGUAACUGACACUGAGGCGCGAAAGCGUGGGGAGCAAACAGGAUUAGAUACCCUGGUAGUCCACGCCGUAAACGAUGAGUGCUAAGUGUUGGGGGGUUUCCGCCCCUCAGUGCUGCAGCUAACGCAUUAAGCACUCCGCCUGGGGAGUACGGUCGCAAGACUGAAACUCAAAGGAAUUGACGGGG
rnacentral:rRNA from 1 species